UCCCGGCACGGGGAGGUAGUGACGAAAAAUAACAAUACGGGACUCUUUUGAGACCCCGUAAUUGGAAUGAGUACACUCUAAAUCCUUUAACGAGGAUCUAUUGGAGGGCAAGUCUGGUGCCAGCAGCCGCGGUAAUUCCAGCUCCAAUAGCGUAUAUUAAAGUUGUUGCGGUUAAAAAGCUCGUAGUUGGAUCUCAGUUCCAGACGGGCGGUCCGCCUAACGGUGGUUACUGCCUGGCCUGAACAGCCAGCCGGUUUCCCUAGAUGAUCUUCACCGGUUGUCUUGGGUGACCGGCACGUUUACUUUGAAAAAAUUAGAGUGCUCAAAGCAGGCGUGUAGCCUGAAUAAUGGUGCAUGGAAUAAUGGAAUAGGACUUCGUUUCUAUUUUGUUGGUUUUCGGAACACGAGGUAAUGAUUAAGAGGGACAGACGGGGGCAUUCGUAUUGCGACGCUAGAGGUGAAA
rnacentral:rRNA from 1 species